UGAAACGGUCAUAACUUGAGCUUUCGGACUCUAAAUCGAGUUAUUCGAAGUGCAUUUUGAAGCUAAUAGAUAGCUCUUUGAUCUAUAUGAAGACAUUUCAACCCAAAAAUAUCUGGAUCCCAUCCAAAAACUCUUUGCAAAUCAAUUAAUCUUUUGGGCUUGAAAAACAACAACUUUGGUGAAUUUAAGUUAAUAAAAUUUACUCCAUCCACGCAUUUAUCACAUCCAAAAUUGGGCUUCAAUUUUCAUGAUCUUUUAGGCUUCUAAAAUGGGCCUUGUAAAAAGUUAAGUCAAACAUGUUCUUGGGUUGGAAUUUAGGCCCUAGACUCGUAUCUUAC
rnacentral:lncRNA from 1 species